GGGGACGUUCUGGUAUUUGACAGGAUGUUUGGUGGUAAUAUGCGGCGGGUCGGAGCGCUGUUCUCCGUCAUCAACGAGCAAAACAAAUUAAGUGCUAACAAUGUAAGAAAAGUAGACUUUGCACAAGCAUAUGCUUUGGCUGCUUAGUCUAUGAUUAGCCACUUAUAUAGCCCAGCUUGCCGGCUGUAUAAGUCCAUUAUGCAAGCGGCAGUGUAUUGAUGCAAAGUAGAUACAUCAAGAUGACUUUGCAAGGUUUAGAGUUUCCUUUAAAUAAAACCUUGGGCUGAUUCGUAUGGUUUAGGACAUUUUCCUGAAUCAGUUGAGCAAAAAAUAGCCUACACUCGUAGAAGUAUGUUGUCAUCCAUUUUGGACGUGGGUUCGACUCCCACCGUCUCCAU
rnacentral:tmRNA from 1 species